rnacentral:misc_RNA from 1 species
GUUAGAUACCAAUCAAUUUGUCUAUUGUCUGUUUAUGCAACUUCCUGGCUGCAAGUGAUUAACGUCGACAACCAUACUUUAAAAAAUUAAAUAAAUGAAUAAGUAGGUUCCACGCUUUUAUACAUCCCUUGCACAGGUCAUAUUUACCAUGUGGAGGUUCUUAAUGAUUAAGACUCCAAUUAUUAUAAUGCAUCAUUUCACCAUCACCAGGUAAUGCACCUUCUACCUCAAGUCAAAAAUAGAUAGUCAUUCAU